CCUACGGGAAGCAGCAGUGGGGAAUAUUGCGCAAUGGGGGAAGCCCUGACGCAGCAACGCCGCGUGAGUGAGGAAGGACUUCGGUCUGUAAAGCUCUGUUAAUGAGGAAAAAUGGUAGUUGGUCUAAUAGGCCGAUUAUUUGAUGGUACUCAUAGAGGAAGCACCGGCUAACUUCGUGCCAGCAGCCGCGGUAAUACGAAGGGUGCAAGCGUUGUUCGGAUUUAUUGGGCGUAAAGCGCGCGUAGGCGGACCUGCAAGUAAGAUGUGAAAUCUCGAGGCUCAACCUCGAAACUGCGUCUUAAACUACAGGUCUAGAAUCUCGGAGGGGGAAGGGGAAUUUCGCAUGUAGGGGUAAAAUCCGUAGAUAUGCGAAGGAACACCAGAGGCGAAGGCGCCUUCCUGGACGAGUAUUGACGCUGAGGCGCGAAAGCGUGGGGAUCAAACAGGAUUAGAUACCCUGGUAGUCCACGCUGUAAACGAUGAACACUAGGUAUUGGAGGAUUUGACCCCUUCAGUGCCGUAGCUAACGCGUUAAGUGUUCCGCCUGGGAAGUACGGUCGCAAGACUAAAACUCAAAUGAAUUGACGG
rnacentral:rRNA from 1 species